GAAAAUGGUCGGAGCACACGCGGCGGUUUGUCGACCGGCACGCGGCGAAAUUUGCGGAGAGGAUAAAAAUGGUGGUUGUCAGUUUUGGGUGCCGGGACGGCGAAAUCGCCGGGAAGAUGGGAUUUUCGGGAGCUCUACGGUAAAAAGAUUUUGAAAAUAAAUUUUAGCAAGUGUUUUAGGUUAGUGAAUUUUACGGAUGUUACACUUCUCCAUCAUCAACCCGUCGUUCGGGGUCUUCAAAGACUGAGCUUGACCGAACAAUGCAUAGCUCG
rnacentral:lncRNA from 1 species